AUUAAACGCUGGCGGCAGGCUUAACGCAUGCAAGUCGAGCGGAGAUGAGGUGCUUGCACCUUAUCUUAGCGGCGGACGGGUGAGUAAUGCUUAGGAAUCUGCCUAUUAGUGGGGGACAACAUUCCGAAAGGAAUGCUAAUACCGCAUACGUCCUACGGGAGAAAGCAGGGGAUCUUCGGACCUUGCGCUAAUAGAUGAGCCUAAGUCGGAUUAGCUAGUUGGUGGGGUAAAGGCCUACCAAGGCGACGAUCUGUAGCGGGUCUGAGAGGAUGAUCCGCCACACUGGGACUGAGACACGGCCCAGACUCUUACGGGAGGCAGCAGUGGGGAAUAUUGGACAAUGGGGGGAACCCUGAUCCAGCCAUGCCGCGUGUGUGAAGAAGGCCUUAUGGUUGUAAAGCACUUUAAGCGAGGAGGAGGCUACUGAGACUAAUACUCUUGGAUAGUGGACGUUACUCGCAGAAUAAGCACCGGCUAACUCUGUGCCAGCCGCCGCCGUAA
rnacentral:rRNA from 1 species